rnacentral:rRNA from 2 species
AGGUUAAGUUAGAAAGGGCGCACGGUGAAUGCCUUGGCACUAGGAGCCGAUGAAGGACGGGACUAACACCGAU